GGGCUCGUGGUUCAAGUGGUAGAAUGCUCGCAUAGUAUGCUGGCUGGCGAGAGGUCCGAGGUUCGAUUCCUCGCGGGCCCA